UUUCAUUUUUUACUGUUGUUAUUGUAUUGUAUGAUAGUGGUUAUGGUCAAUCAAUCAGUCAAAUGCCUGUGAUAUUAAUACCUUUACAUUUUGACCGGGACCCCGCUCUGAGAAUUCCUUCAUGUCAAAGGUCAAUAGUUCUUCGACCAUUUUGUACACAAGACUACAUGACUGGUGUUCCAGCCGUACCUGGGAAGGAACUGCCCAUUGAUGUGGUACAUAAAAUGGUCCAGGAAGUGACGCAAGUACCAGGAAUCAGCAGGGUACUAUAUGAUUUAACAUCAAAGCCGCCAGGAACUACAGAAUGGGAAUAGACUUAACUGAUUUUAGUACAAUAUUUUUGUUCAUUUAUGAGUUGUGUUUUCCCAAAUUGAAAAUGUUUGUUUAGUUGGAGAUAACGAGCUCCCCAAGUUCGUGACGCUUUUAUGAAAAAAAAUCAAGUUUAAGUUUGGUUGUUAUGUUGAUUUAAAGAUAAUUUCGAGACUUGAAGAAUAUUUUUAAUCUCAAAUAAUGUCUGUUCUGAUUUAUUACUGAAACAUCGUCCAUGUCUAGAUAACUUUAAAAUUUAAUAUUUUUAUACUACGUUACAAAUUGUUUACUCCCAUUGGAUAGAACCGCUCUUGGCAGAGAGGUUCAAAAAUAUGUUAUUUUCUGUUAUAUUUCCAUGUAUUUCUUGUUGAUAUUACUUUCUUAUGUUUUAAGUGUUCAUGUUUUGUAUGCUGUUCGAAAUUUAACAAUAAAAAUUUGUUUAUUA